rnacentral:piRNA from 1 species
UACACUUUAUCACUUUAUACAGC